rfam:Drosophila willistoni strain TSC#14030-0811.24 scf2_1100000004822 genomic scaffold, whole genome shotgun sequence.
GGUGCGACCGGAUGACGGUUCACAACGACCGUGUCAAUUUUACUGGUCGGUGGGACUUUCGUCCGUUUGUAAC